ensembl:lncRNA
CGGGCAACAAAAAUUGUAAACAAAACACUAAGCACACAAAAUGUGCGAAUAUGAAAGCUAUGCGAGUGGGUGCGUGCGUGUGUUGCAGUGUGUGUAAUGGCGGCGCAAAGGUACUGACCACGUUUGCAGGUAUUGAAGGCACCAAUGAGUAUCGCGGGUCACCAGACACCAAGAUAGGUGGAUAAGCGGUUUUUGCCUUGUCUUCAGGACUGCUCAUGACAGUUGGUCUGGAAGUGCAAUGCUUCAGUCACGCACCAGACAUCAUAACCAUGGAACAGCGGAUUGACACGCAGCCGUCUUUCCACCGUAAACCAUCUCUCAUACGGGCAACCCUCAUGUGCAAACAAACGAAUGACGCCUCUCUUUCAGUUUACAGACGGUGAAUCCACAUCCGUCCAUCACGUCCCUCACUGCUGCAGUCAGACUGAAUCUGAUCAUGGAUGAGAGAGGGACAUCGAGGCUGUCCUUGUCUGAGUGCACAGAGAGGAUCAGGAAGACCAUGAUGAAGAUCCUAAAACACACAACCCUGAAUCAAGAUCAGGAGAACAUGUGUGGGACAAUCUGACUGCUGCUGUGUCUGCUCCAAACAUCUGUGUGCUGCUCUCCAUGAGCACCACACUACCUGUAAAACAUUUACACAGAGUAAAACACUUUAUAUCUCAUGUUGUCAGCAUUCUAUUUAUUGCUAAAUUUAAUUUAAUAUUUUUACAAUUGCAUGCUAAUUUGAUAAAGCUUCAUUACUUUUGUGGGGUAGUGAACUGAACUGGUCAGCAGAAGGUUGCUGGAUCAAUCUCUGCAGUCGUCUCCACCGGUGUGUCUUUACUCCAGGUGACUCAGGGAUUACAGGAUUGAGGUCCCUGUAAUAAGAGCACUGUAAGUCACUUAAGAUAAAAGUCUCUGCCAAAUUAAUACAUGUACAUGUGAUUUUUGUAAAUGCUUAUUUGUGUCUUGGGCACAAACGCUCAAUAAAUGCUUAAGAAAGGUACUACUAUAAUAUUAAUGCAUGCAUAUAUUUCAUACAGUUUCUAUUUGGGGCUUUAAAGGGUUAGUUCAUCUAAACAUAUAAAUUCAGUCAUUAUUUACUUGCCUCUAUUCUUUUCAAUCCUUGUGUUAGGGCUGGGCAAUUUAUUGCAUGUGAUUGUCACGCACAUUUCGUCAGUAAAGCCAGUUCCCUGAUUACCGCUAAAUUGCCAUCACCUGCUUUCAAAUGGAGCGGCAUUUAAUAGACAGAGCCGUAGUUCACUGACAAGCUACACAAUAUCGCGUUCAUUAUCGAAGGCAAUUCAUCUGCGAUAAUGAACGCGAUAUUGCAUUGCUUGCAUAGCUCAGAUUCUUCAUGACAUUAUUUGAUGAUGCUUUUCUGAAACUCAGGUUUUAUUGACUGAUGUUGUAUGAACAGAAACCAG